AAAGCUUUCUCUGGGAGCAGCAGCACAUCGUCUUCUACAUCUUCACCUCCUGGAGCGUGAAUGGCGCUGGUCACCGUACAACGGUCGCCAACCCUUAGCACAACCUCCAGUCCAUGCGUGCUGGUUUGUGCCACUGCUGCUCAGAACCUGUGCAGCUGUGAGUAGGGGGGACAGCAGUUUCUCCCUGUUGGCUGUAAUGUGAGGUCUGGACUAUGGAGGAAGUCAAACAACUUAAAUGUGGAUCACCAACUUUCUAACAGAUACGCAGCAGUUAGUGAGACUGGAGAAAUUCACUUCCACACUUGUACGUUCAGCAACCAGGUAUGUGUGCUCUCCCCACUACACUUCU